rnacentral:tRNA from 1 species
GCCGGAGUAACUCAAAGGUAGAGUAGCUAUCUCGUAAGUAGCAAGUUGCGAGUUCGAUUCUCGCCUCCGGCU